rnacentral:rRNA from 1 species
UACGGAGGGUGCAAGCGUUAUCCGGAUUCACUGGGUUUAAAGGGUGCGUAGGAGGGCAGGUAAGUCAGUGGUGAAAUCUCCGGGCUUAACUCGGAAACUGCCGUUGAUACUAUCUGUCUUGAAUACCGUGGAGAUGAGCGGAAUAUGUCAUGUAGCGGUGAAAUGCUUAGAUAUGACAUAGAACACCGAUUGCGAAGGCAGCUAACUACACGAUCAUUGACACUGAGGCACGAAAGCGUGGGGAGCAAACAGG